rnacentral:rRNA from 1 species
AUGGAUCCUAAUACUUGGGCCACUAACGAAAAACUUAAUGAAAAAGACAACGCUGAUCUGUGUCGAGCCUUUACGGAGGCAGAAGUUAAGGAAGCUCUAUUUGCUAUGGCACACAAUAGAGCACCUGGACCGGACAACAUUCCUGUGGAGUUUUAUCAGGUGUGUUGGGAUAUCGUGAAGGAUGAUAUUAUGCUCCUGUUUGAACACUUUCAUAAAGGGGAUCUGGAUGUACAGCGCCUCAAUUAUGGUGUGAUUACUCUCCUCCCUAAAACUGCGGGCGCAGACAAGAUUCAGCAGUUCCGACCGAUUUGUCUCCCGAGGUGUCCGUACAAACUUAUUACUAAGGUCCUAGAUAGGCGAGUUGAAAAAUAUGCUGAUAAGCUCAUCAAUAGGGCCCAUAAUGCUUUCGUGAAAGGGAGGAACAUCAUGGAUGGUGUGAUGUCUUUGCAUGAGAUUCUUAACUACACCCAUGUGAAAAAGAGGGUGGGUGUGGUUCUGAAACUCGACUUCGAGAAGGCUUAUGACAAAGUUAAUUGGGACUUUAUUCUUGAGUGCCAUAAGCUUCGAGGCUUUAAUGAUACAUGGUGCGGGUGGAUUAGGAAUAUCCUGCAUAAGGGGACUGUGAGCAUCAAAUUGAAUAACCAAGUUGGCCCCUACUUCCAAAGUGCGAAAGGGGUUCGACAAGGUGAUCCCCAUUCCCCUUUCCUGUUCAAUCUAGCUGUGGAUUGUUUGGCAAAAAUGAUCACAACUGCCCAAAAAAGUGACCUGUUAGUGGGUCUUGCCUCUGAUCUAAUACCUAAUGGGGUAGCAGUUCUUCAAUAUGCGGACGAUACCAUCAUUUGCCUAGAACAUGACAUUGACAAAGCUGUCAACUUGAAAAUGCUUCUUUACAUGUUUGAAUUGAUGUCGGGGCUUAAGGUGAAUUUUCAGAAAAGUGAGAUUCUUACUGUGGGGGGUGAUGAUAAUGUGGUGAAUAUGUAUGCAGACUUGUUCAACUGCGAGGUGGGCAGUUUCCCUAUCAAGUACCUAGGGAUGCCUGUUAGUUACACCAAUCUCAGAAACUCAGACUGGGAAUUUAUCAUUACCAAGUAUCUGAAAAAAUUUGAAGCUUGGAUUGGUAAUGCAGCCUCGAUGGGGGGGGAGGCUGACCUUGCUAGAUUCGGUGGUCACUCAAAUAUCCCUGUACCAUAUGUCUAUGUGGCUCAUGAACAAAACUUUCAUCGAGCGUCUAGACAAGCAUAG